AACGAACGCUGGCGGCAUGCCUAACACAUGCAAGUCGAACGAGACCUUCGGGUCUAGUGGCGCACGGGUGCGUAACGCGUGGGAAUCUGCCCUUGGGUUCGGAAUAACAGUUGGAAACGACUGCUAAUACCGGAUGAUGACGUAAGUCCAAAGAUUUAUCGCCCAAGGAUGAGCCCGCGUAGGAUUAGCUAGUUGGUGAGGUAAAGGCUCACAAAGGCGACGAUCCUUAGCUGGUCUGAGAGGAUGAUCAGCAACACUGGGACUGAGACACGGCCCAGACUCCUACGGGAGGCAGCAGUGGGGAAUAUUGGACACUGGGCGAAAGCCUGAUCCAGCAAUGCCGCGUGAGUGAUGAAGGCCUUAGGGUUGUAAAGCUCUUUUACCCGGGAUGAUAAUGACAGUACCGGGAGAAUAAACACCGGCUAACUCCGG
rnacentral:rRNA from 1 species